CAGCCGCCGCGGUAAUACGUAGGUGGCAAGCGUUGUCCGGAAUUAUUGGGCGUAAAGGGCUCGCAGGCGGUUUCUUAAGUCUGAUGUGAAAGCCCCCGGCUCAACCGGGGAGGGUCAUUGGAAACUGGGAAACUUGAGUGCAGAAGAGGAGAGUGGAAUUCCACGUGUAGCGGUGAAAUGCGUAGAGAUGUGGAGGGACACCAGUGGCGAAGGCGACUCUCUGGUCUGUAACUGACGCUGAGGAGCGAAAGCGUGGGGAGCGAACAGGAUUAGAUACCCCUGUAGUCCCUGUCUCUUAUAC
rnacentral:rRNA from 1 species